UUCUUUGCGAUUUUUCUACCAUUAGGGGUUCUUUUCGAGUUUGUGUUUUAGCUAUUGAAGUGAUCAAAAUUUCCACUACUUCUCGUCUUUCCUUCAAUUGCAGAUUAGGUAAUCUUCUUUUGGUUUCUUUUUCUUUAUUUGCUUUGCCGAAAUCCUUUUCUUCUCUCACUCUUGGUUCUGCUUCUUCUUUUCCUUCUGAAUCCU
rnacentral:lncRNA from 1 species